rnacentral:rRNA from 1 species
GACGAACGCUGGCGGCGUGCUUAACACAUGCAAGUCGAACGAUGAAGAAGAGAAACGCGAACUUCGGUUCAAAUUUCACUUCGGAUUAGUGGCAGACGGGUGAGUAACGCGUGAGCAACCUACCUCUUACAAAGGGAUAGCCUCGGGAAACCGUGAUUAAUACCAUAUGACACAUUCAUAAGGCAUCUUAAGACUGUUAAAGCUACGGCGGUAAGAGAUGGGCUCGCGUCCCAUUAGCUAGUUGGUGAGGUAACGGCCCACCAAGGCGACGAUGGGUAACCGGCCUGAGAGGGUGAACGGUCACAUUGGAACUGAGACACGGUCCAAACUCCUACGGGAGGCAGCAGUGGGGAAUAUUGCACAAUGGAGGGAACUCUGAUGCAGCGACGCCGCGUGGGCGAUGAAGGAAUUCGUUUCGUAAAGCUCUGUUCUAUGGGAAGAAAAGGACUGUACCAUAGGAGAAAGCCCCGGCUAAAUACGUG